rfam:Oryza sativa Japonica Group DNA, chromosome 1, cultivar: Nipponbare, complete sequence.
AAUGUAUGACGCUGUUGACUUUUUGACAAACAUUUGACCUUUCGUCUUAUUCAAAAAAUUUAUAUAAUUAUCAUUUAUUUUAUUAUGACUUGAUUUAUCAUCAAAUGUUCUUUAAGCAUGAUAUAAGUAUUUUUAUAUUCGCAUAAAAAUUUUGAAUAAGACGAAUGGUCAAACGUUGGUUAAAAAGUCAACGGCGUCAUACAUU